ACAGAGCAAGAAACUUUCUCAAGAAAAAAAAAAAAGAUAUGAAGAGGAGCACAUCUGGCUACAGAGGCGAGUGUGGGUGGAAGUUUGGUGGGAGGAAGGAACCAGACGUGUUCUGCUGGCAGGGUGCACCUGUCUGCCCAGAAAAGUGGGUUUGUGCAGGAAACUGCAGGUGACAAGGUUGGAAAUGUAAAUUGGGACAUCCUUUGGCUUUUUACUGUGGCUCUCAGCUUCUUAACCGACCUGGAGAAAGAGAGGUAAGAGGAUAAAUAAAGAUGGUGUAAACGGUGUGAAGAUAGUUAUCUGAAAAGGCUGCUGGGAGUAGCUGGCCUUCUGUUCAUAGUAGACAAUUUUGGGUGCCUUCCUAGUGACCCUACAUUUUUUGGGAGUGUGAUCCCCCUUCUUGCUGAGGAGGAAGAAGCAAACAAUCAGGUUUGAGACAGAAAGGGCCCUACUUAUGAGAGGGGGACAGAAUGUGAACUCAGAAAGAUCCAAUCACAGUCAGGUGGUAUUGACCCAGGAGUGGUAUUGACCCGGAAAUAGUAAGAACAUAUAAAAAUGGAGCCCUGGUUGUUACCAAGGCAACCCAUAGUCUGUUGCAUGCUGAGUUUGGGGGAGCAGAAGAGUCUCAGGGGCAUAGUCAGUCCGCAGGGAGAUUAGCACAGGCCGGCAGAGAAGUGACCCAGCGCCAGGUUGCCUGGUAACCUUCCGUUCCCAGGAGGCUGCUGUGAGGCUCCUCUGGCUUCGCGGAGUAUGACGGACCCAGAGCCAUCUCCUUCCGCCUCACCGACUCUGCCUGCAUUUUAGGCCAGGUUGGUAGGAGAGUUGAAUGAAGACUGAAUGAAUGAAUGAUGAAAAGUACAAAAUGCCAUCACUUCACUUCUUUCAGGAAGACCCAGGACACUCUGCUGCAUCCUCCACCUGUUUGUGAAUUAAAUGUCAAUGUUGGCUUUU